UUUUAUGUUAUGUGGCGUGUACCCUAAAAAAAAAAAUAGAGGUGCAGUGCUCCAGCACGGGAUGAGGCAGCGUGGACAGGAGCAUCUCCCAACCUCAGUGAAGUCUGAGCCGCGUGCCUGCAACAAUCCCACUGUGGCAGAGAACCGCAGAGUUCCUUCCGGUUUGGCAGCAGUCAUUCGCAACCUCACAGCCCUCUGGAACCCCAGCCUGGGGGUCUCAGAACGCCGAGGCGGGGACUGGGAGCCGAGUCGGAUUCCGAGACUAUGGGCCAGGGUUGGCUGGAUUCAGUUACCUGGCUGAGGCCUGGUGAGCAAAAUAUCCCAAACCUCGCGUGAUCUGGAAGGGGAAGCCGGAUAAAUACGGAUCUCCAGAUGUGCCAGUCUCGAGUCUAUCGAUAUGAGGUCCCCCUAGAGUUUCUAUUCAUCAUUUUAACCGCAUUUCAUCGAUCUUGAGACACGGCUUUUGAUAUUUUAUCACCUCAAGAUAAAUAGUGUUAGAUGUCUAAUAGCAGCGUUUUUCUAAGAGAUACAUGAAACAACAGUGUCAGAAACGAUGCUGUCUUCCAUGCGAUGAAAUUGUUGUAAUAGGUGCUCAAUAAAUGUUGACAAUAAAUGA